UACGAAGGGGGCUAGCGUUGCUCGGAAUCACUGGGCGUAAAGCGCACGUAGGCGGGUCGUUAAGUCGGGGGUGAAAUCCUGGAGCUCAACUCCAGAACUGCCUUCGAUACUGGCGAUCUUGAGUCUGGGAGAGGUGAGUGGAACUCCGAGUGUAGAGGUGAAAUUCGUAGAUAUUCGCAAGAACACCAGUGGCGAAGGCGGAUCUCUGGACAGCUCCUGACGCUGAGGCGCGAAGGCUAGGGGAGCAAACGGG
rnacentral:rRNA from 1 species